rnacentral:misc_RNA from 1 species
UCCGGUUCCUCACCGGCAGUCUCCUUAGAGUCCCCAUCUUGCUUGCUGGCAACUAAGGAUAAGGGUUGCGCUCGUUACGGGACUUAACCCAACAUCUCACAACACGAGCUGACGACAGCCAUGCAGCACCUGUCUCCGCGUUCCUUUCGGCACUCAAGCCUUUCCGCUUGAUUCGCAGGAUGUCAAGUGUAGGUAAGGUUCUUCGCGUUGCAUCGAAUUAAACCACAUGCUCCACCGCUUGUGCGGGCCCCCGUCAAUUCAUUUGAGUUUCAACCUUGCGGCCGUACUUCCCAGGCGGAAGACUUAUCGCGUUAGCUUCGAUACUCCUAGGUUCCCCUAGCAACAUCUAGUCCUCAUCGUUUACAGCGUGGACUAC